rnacentral:lncRNA from 1 species
CCCAAGUGGGCUUUGACCUUAAAUCAAGAGAUAUCAAAAGCUGCAGUAAAAAUAAUUGUGUGUUUUAAAACCAAUGGUAUCUUAGAAAUAGGAAAUAUGAAAUGAUGACAAGCCUAGCCAGAACACUAAUUUGUUUCUAUAUCCCCAAUAUAUAGCGGGCAGUAUGAUUUCAAUAUGUUUAUGAGAAGGACAAAUAUCUCAACAAAAUAGACAUUUCUCAGAUGGUGUUUUCACAACAUAAAUGUUUUAUGCAUUUGUGCUUAGAUUUUAAGAUAUUAGAUAAGAAAUCAAAUUUCCCUCCAGCUUUUAUUCAGCACCAUCCCCUCACAUACAAACUCACACAUACACACAUGGAAACUGAUUCCUAAUGUCAGAGUUAAUUUCUCAUUUA